CCUACGGGAGGCUGCAGUGAGGAAUAUUGGUCAAUGGACGCAAGCCUGAACCAGCCAAGUCGCGUGCGGGAUGACGGUCCUAUGGAUUGUAAACCUCUUUUGUCGAGGAGCAAAGCCCGCCACGUGUGUCGGGCCGAAAAGUCCCCACGGAUAAGGCAUCGCCUACCUCGGUGCCGGAAGCGGCGGUAAUACGGAGGAUCCAGGCGUAAUCCGAAUUUUUGGGGUUUAAGGGUUCGGUAGGCGGAUGAUUAAUUCGGCGGUAAAUUGUCGGUGUGAAAAAAGGGCCUGCCGUUGAAACUGGUCGUCUGGAGAGAGCGUGCAGUAGGCGGAAUGUGUGGUGUAGCGGUGAAAUGCAUAGAGAUCACGCAGAACUCCGAUUGCGAAGGCAGCAUACCGGUGUUUAACUGACGCUGAGGCACGAAAGCGUGGGGAUCGAACAGGAUUAGAUACCCGGGUAGUC
rnacentral:rRNA from 1 species